AUUUACAGCAACUAGAUGAAUUAACAGGAUCUCCAGCAGACAUUGCAGCUGAUGUAGUGGGAGAUAAUCCUAAACAAAAUCAGAUUAAGAAAAGGGUAACAAGGCUCCUUUUGCUUCUGCAAAUUCCUUACAAUUACGUUGCAUCCUUAUGUUAGUUUGCAUUGAGACUCUGGAGAAGAUUCUGCGAGAAUAUUGUACAGUUGAUCUUCUCAUC